AGUGAACGCUGGCGGUAGGCCUAGCACAUGCAAGUCGAACGGCAGCACAGUAAGAGCUUGCUCUUACGGGUGGCGAGUGGCGGACGGGUGAGGAAUACAUCGGAAUCUACUUUUUCGUGGGGGAUAACGUAGGGAAACUUACGCUAAUACUGCAUACGACCUACGGGUGAAAGCAGGGGAUCUUCGGACCUUGCGCGAUUGAAUGAGCCGAUGUCGGAUUAGCUAGUUGGCGGGGUAAAGGCCCACCAAGGCGACGAUCCGUAGCUGGUCUGAGAGGAUGAUCAGCCACACUGGAACUGAGACACGGUCCAGACUCCUACGGGAGGCAGCAGUGGGGAAUAUUGGACAAUGGGCGCAAGCCUGAUCCAGCCAUACCGCGUGGGUGAAGAAGGCCUUCGGGUUGUAAAGCCCUUUUGUUGGGAAAGAAAAGCAGCAGGUUAAUACCCCGCUGUUCUGACGGUACCCAAAGAAUAAGCACCGGCUAACUUCGUG
rnacentral:rRNA from 1 species